rnacentral:rRNA from 1 species
UACGUAGGGUGCGAGCGUUAAUCGGAAUUACUGGGCGUAAAGUGUGCGCAGGCGGUCUCGCAAGUCAAGUGUGAAAGCCCCGGGCUUAACCUGGGAACUGCGCUUGAAACUACGAGACUCGAGUGUGGCAGAGGAAGGUGGAAUUCCACGUGUAGCGGAUUGAAAUGCGUAGGAGAUGUGGAGGAACACCGAUGGCGAAGGCAGCCCCCUGGGGCUA